AUGUUGUGUUCACCAAUCGACGAGCUCAUCGAGAAAUGGGGGAGUUUAUAUAUGGUUCAAUGCGUGUGGAAUUCAGAGGAAAGCUGGGGCGGCUAAUGAUUUUGCGAGGAAAUUGGGCGGGAGAACGUGUGGGUCAGGACCGACCACGGCAGGUUAGUACAGUAUGAUUCAUUGAUGUGGCCGGUGCUCCCAGCGCCACGGCGUCGAUCGAUCGAUCAUUCCAUCGCACGUUCCAACCAACCCAAUCAAUCAUCGACCCUGGAAUCUGGAUAAGCACUAAUAAUAGUAUUAUCAUCGACUCUUUUUUUUUUCUUAUCUUGAUGAUACAAAACUGAGAGAAUCACAGUGCACAUGUAGGAGUGCUACAACUUUUAAAGUAAACAACAAUGAUUUAAUUAAGUAUUUGUUUUGUGUACUCUAGCCAAGAGAAAAGAAAUAGUAAAGGAAAAGGGAGAAGUCAACGCCUAAA